UAGUUUGAGUUCAAUUCUUUAUUCAUAUCUUUAAGUAAGAGUGGAACUACAAUUUUUUCUUGGAACUGUUUUAGAGUUUCCUUUUAGUAAAGAGUAAGAUAUUUGUGAUUACUAUGCGUUAUAUUUGAAACAGGAUGGGGAAACCAUUGAUUUUGUACAUCAUUUCUCGUCCUCUUCUCAAUCCAAUUGUGUUGAAGGUCUAUGCUUCUUUUUCUUCUUCAUUUUCUUUCUAUUUUGGAUAUUUGUUGGGUCAUACAAACGUGGAUGGACUUGUAUUCAAAUCGGAUGAGAAUUGAAGGAAGAGGUUUGAUUUUCUUGUGUGGAUGAUAGUUCAAAUGUGCCUCUGGGUGCAUGGCUUGAUAAGAAUUGUGGAUUUUUUAGGGUUUAGAUAUGCAUCUAGUAUCAAGUGUGGAUCUUGUAGAUUUGUUUUAGUGGUAUGCAGUUUAUCUUGUUGUACAUUUUCAGGGAUCUUUAGAGUUUAUUGGUAAGUUAUAGUUUAGAUAUUAACUCUUAUUGUCAUUUUUUAAUGCUCCCAUGUAUAUUUUCCUAGACUAGAGAUUCGGCUCCCCAUUUUUUUUGGUUCUUUGCAAUGAACUUACUAUUUAUCCUAAAACUUCUCGCCUGCAAUCAUUAUUAACCUGAAGUGGAAUACUUUUUUGUAGCUAUAUACUUGCUAGCUAUGUUUGCAAUUUUCUUGGUUUUAAAAUACUUUUAGAAUAAUCCUCUAUUUGUAAUCAUUUGAUUUUUAAUGAUUUUUAAUGAUGUAAUCAUUCUAUCAUAUUGAUGUAAGGAACAAUGAUUUGCAUUUUUCAAUUUCGAAUGGGUGUGUACUGGGUCUGCUGGCUUCACUUUUCUGCCAUUUGUUAACAAAUGGUGAAUCAUAGGGAUAUUCAAUCUCUUCAAUCCUGAACAUAGGUUUGACACUCUUAUUGCUAAAAUAACAAAAUCCAGCCUUUAUAUGAAACUUCACUUUUCUGACAUUUUCACUUUUCUGCCAUUUGUUAACAAAUGGUGAAUCAUAAGGAUAUUCAAUCUCUUCAAACCUGAACACAGGUUUGACACUCUUCUUGCUAAAAUAAAAAAAUCCAGCCUUUAUAUGAAACUUCAAGUCAUUCAAUGCCCCCUAUACUGUUUAGAUGGAAGAUUGUAUUUUGUGCUGAAAAUAAUUUGUUAUGUGUACUUUAGUAAUUGAGAAAAACAUGUCCUCCUGCUUAUCAUUUUUGCAUUAGUAAAUAGUAUGAUUCUGAAAUGUGAAAACUGUUGGAGCUAACACUAACCAGCAUUUGAGCUGCAGUAUUCUUGUGCUUGAUUUAUUAGAUCAAGGCAUACAGAAACUAACACAAGAUUUGGAUCGUGUUCUUCUUAUUUAUUUUGUCAGAGUGCACAUCAAUUUAGUAAGAGCCUGAAGCUAGCUGAGAGAGGCAGGGCAUUGUUAACCUCAUCUGGGACUGGUUGAUGAAAAGAAUUCUGACGAUUUGAAGCUAGAAAUCUUCAUUCUGCUACUAUGCUACUCAAAACUACAAGGCAGCUGUGAUUUGGACAAAACCAUACACAAGACUAAGUUUUUCAUGUUUCUUUAAACAAAGACCAUCUUAUGUAUUUAAAUCCACUGAUUACUGAAACUGAAUCGAAAUCCAAUUCAUAUUUUUACGGAUCGGAUGCAAAUAAGACCUAAUCCAUAUGUAAUCCAUCGUUUGCCGGGUUGAUUUGUAGAUGCAAUUUUUUUUUUCAUCCAAUCUACGCAGUAAUUAUAUAAACAAAUAUCUCAUUCAUAUUUUAUUUUU
rnacentral:lncRNA from 1 species